UUUUUUCCUUCCCCAUUAGUUUCUAUAUAGAGUUUUACUUUUGGUUUUUCUAGGUUAGUCUAGUUCUGCAAGUUUUUUUUCUUCUCUGGAUUUUGCUAAGAUGGUGGAAUUCUUUCUUAUGCUUCAGACUUUGAAGAACAAAAUGUUUGGCUUCUCUAGUAGGCAUAUGAAACUUGCCAGAGACUACAAUCAAUAGAGAAUCGAGCCCCUACUCCUAGAAAACCUUCUCACGAAUGAUGCUUUGCAAGGUCAAAUGAUGUCAUGCCUAUGAACUUCAGCACAAAUGAUGAGACAAUCCUUCUAUAUUAUGUGGACUCAAUCUAUCAGGGGAAGUGCAAUUGGAUGAUUGCGCUGAAGACCUACAGAGACAGAAGCACAUUUUAUAGAACUUACCUUUUGGCUGAGAAAAUUGGAUCUGUAAUGAUGUUUUUUAACCAUUGAGCUUCACCUUUCUUGAUAGAGUUCAUUAGUCCCAGUAUAAUUAAACCGUGGUCAAAUAAAUGAUAAUUAAAU
rnacentral:sRNA from 1 species